rnacentral:lncRNA from 1 species
UCAGAACUUUGAAACCUUCAACUAUACAACUAUUUAAAUUGAUUAACAUCUAAAAAAAAGUAUUUAAAAUGAAAAUAAAAAAAAUGAUAUUUUAAUAUGUGAAAUAUUAUAUUUUAAUCCUUAUUUUACUUUUAAAAUUUUAGUUAAUUUAUAAAAGCUAAUGCAAUGAAAUAUUAAAAAAGAACACAAAGUGACUAAACAAUAAUAAAAAAAAAACGAAAGCUGAAUGUUAAUGGAAUAACGAAAAAAUUGAAAUCAAACCCCACAAUUCUCGCCAACUAUAUUUGAAAAUAAAUAAAAUUACUUUGCUAACCUUUAUUAUACAAAAUGAAGAAAAAAUGGCUAAUUAUCUA